CGAGAAUUUUUCUCAAUGGGGGCAACCCUGAAGGAGCGACGCCGCGUGGAGGAUGAAGGCUUUCGGGUUGUAAACUCCUGUCAUUUGAGAACAAUGGCUCCGCGUUAACUGCGCGGAGCUUGAUAGUAUCAGAAGAGGAAGGGACGGCUAACUCUGUGCCAGCAGCCGCGGUAAUACAGAGGUCCCGAGCGUUGUUCGGAUUCAUUGGGCGUAAAGGGUGCGUAGGCGGCGCCGUAAGUGGGGUGUGAAAUCCCGGGGCUUAACCCCGGGACUGCAUUCCAUACUGCGGUGCUUGAGGACUGGAGAGGAGACUGGAAUCUACGGUGUAGCAGUGAAAUGCGUAGAGAUCGUAAGGAAGACCAGUGGCGAAGGCGGGUCUCUGGACAGUUCCUGACACUGAGGCACGAAGGCCAGGGGAGCAAAC
rnacentral:rRNA from 1 species